ACUCCUACGGGAGGCAGCAGUGGGGAAUAUUGCACAAUGGGCGCAAGCCUGAUGCAGCCAUGCCGCGUGUAUGAAGAAGGCCUUCGGGUUGUAAAGUACUUUCAGCGGGGAGGAAGGCGAUAAGGUUAAUAACCUUGUCGAUUGACGUUACCCGCAGAAGAAGCACCGGCUAACUCCGUGCCAGCAGCCGCGGUAAUACGGAGGGUGCAAGCGUUAAUCGGAAUUACUGGGCGUAAAGCGCACGCAGGCGGUCUGUCAAGUCGGAUGUGAAAUCCCCGGGCUCAACCUGGGAACUGCAUUCGAAACUGGCAGGCUAGAGUCUUGUAGAGGGGGGUAGAAUUCCAGGUGUAGCGGUGAAAUGCGUAGAGAUCUGGAGGAAUACCGGUGGCGAAGGCGGCCCCCUGGACAAAGACUGACGCUCAGGUGCGAAAGCGUGGGGAGCAAACAGGAUUAGAUACCCUUGUAGUCCCAU
rnacentral:rRNA from 1 species